AUUGUUAAUUGCAUGCUAUAGAUGUGCUUAAAUGAACAUGUUUUUCACAAAAUUUCCUUCACAAAUAAGAUGGGUACUUACAUGAGAUGUAAAUGAGUAAGUGUACUCUCUCAUUAUUAUUUAUAAUAGCCAAUAUGAUAUUAGUGUGAGGUGGGCUUGGUAAUAGUGAGCCUCCCAUACCCUACUAAGUGUUUCCUCCAAAAUUCUAGAAUUCCUUUGGGGGAUAUGGAAUUUGUCAAAAUAGUGGGUGGUUUAUUUGAUUAAAAGACUCAAUCAAAUGGCUUAAAAUCAAUCAAUUUAUUUCGUUAUGUAUUAUUUACCUAUAUAUUUGCAAACACUAUCCAAAACUUGACAAAGAAAGCCAAAAGCUUUAGUUUCCAAACUUGGUGUUACAAUCCCAUACAUUGUCUUGAAUGGAUUGUGUGUGUACCCAAGUAGUCUCAUCCUCACCAUCUUCCUAUUGAUAAUGUAUCAUUGGAAGAACAUUAUAGAUAUGUCUAACAUAAUGAGGAUAACACAACUAGAUGUGCAUAUUCCUUUGUUGAAUAGACAGAGGAACUUAAGAAGUUAACACAAAGACAUGGAAACUUCAUGUGCCAUUCUUUACUUACAAGUAGUUGUAGGAAGAUAUACGAGUUGUUUUGAACAUCCCUUAAUUAACAUAAAAACUAGUGCUUGUUUCUUGGUUAUAUGAACAAGGAACUUUAGAAUGGACACUUUAUGUGCCAUGAUUCUUCACCCACAAAUUGUUGUAUGAAGAAAUGACAGUUCCCUUGCACAAUUCUUGAAUAUUUCUAAUCUUGUUUGGAACAAGAUAGUUGUUAAGGGACGAUCCUGAAACAGAAAAGAUAAGGAAAAUGUUAGUGCCCAAAACAUAUUAAUAUUUGUCACAUUUAAGAAUUGGAAUAUUAAACGCUUUAUUACAUGUCGUCGUGCCUCCAUCCAAUAUGAGAAGGGCCUCGAACCCGCAUGGUGGAGAAAAGUCUUCUUGUCCCAGUUGAUCUUGUUGGCCUUCACCUUCUUCUAUAGUUGUGAUACUUAAAGAAAAUAUAACAAAAAUUAAUUAACAUUAGUAAGAAUUUAAAAAAUUAUAAUUAAUUAAGUCGUAUAUCUUAACAUACAUACCACACAGGAGUCCUCCUGAAAAUGGCCGCAGAGCCAUUCCCGGUCCUCUGGCCACUCCUCCAACUCCUACAGGCAAC
rnacentral:lncRNA from 1 species